UACAGAGGUCUCAAGCGUUGUUCGGAUUCAUUGGGCGUAAAGGGUGCGUAGGUGGCGCCGUAAGUCGGGUGUGAAAUUUCGGAGCUUAACUCCGAAACUGCAUUCGAUACUGCGGUGCUUGAGGACUGGAGAGGAGACUGGAAUUCCUGGUGGAGCGGUGAAAUGCGCAGAUAUCAGGAGGAACACCCGUAGCGAAGGCGGCACUCUGGGCCGAUACUGACACUGAGGAGCGAAAGCGUGGGGAGCGAACAGG
rnacentral:rRNA from 1 species